UACGAAGGGGGCUAGCGUUGUUCGGAAUUACUGGGCGUAAAGGGCGCGCAGGCGGCCCUCCAAGUCAGGCGUGAAAGCCCCGGGCUCAACCCGGGAACAGCGCUUGAGACUGGGGGGCUCGAGUUCGGGAGAGGAGAGUGGAAUUCCCAGUGUAGAGGUGAAAUUCGUAGAUAUUGGGAAGAACACCGGUGGCGAAGGCGGCUCUCUGGACCGAUACUGACGCUGAGGCGCGAAAGCGUGGGGAGCAAACAGG
rnacentral:rRNA from 1 species